AGGAAAGAUGGAGUCCGAUUUGAAGACAUUUAUUGAGUGCUUACUGCAUGCCAGGCACUGGGCCUGUAGGGAUGUGUAGGAACUGCUUCUGAACAGCCCCGAAUAUCGAUGACCACACCCUGUUAACCUCAGGAGAUGAAUCCAAGACCUAUCUUUGGAGAGCCUGAACUCAGAAGUCCAAGUCCUGCCACUUCCCGGAGUGUGCCUUUAGGCACAGUACUUCACCUGUCUGAGCUGCAGUGUCCUCGGGGAAAUCAGGGUAGGGCACUUCACUGGCUUUGAGGAUGGGGGCAGGGGUACGUAUGUCAUGUUCAUUCUGUUGUCCGAGGGGGUCAGGGGGAGGGAGCCAUUGCCGCCACUGACCCUGGGGUCCCUCUCUCCAGAUGGCUCCUUGCGGCUCAGUCUUCUGGGUGUGAACCCCAGGUGGCCUGAUGCAUAUUCCCCAUCCCUACAGAAACCAACAAGAGUUUUGAUGGGGGAAUGGAGGGUAGGAUGUGAUCUCCCUAGGCCCGGUAGAGAAGUCUCUCUGGCAUGGCAGGCUGCUUGGGGAACUGUGAUUUCACACCAGAAAAUUCUGAAGAGUCUCAGGGCCUGGGAUCUAUACUUUCUAAAAUACAUGUGUGUACACGUAUCUGUGUUCACGUUUGUGGGUAUGCCCGUGUGCACUGUGGCCACGUGUGUGUCUGGAGGGAGACUUAAGCAGGCUGACAGGCCAUCUUUCAUGCUGCUUCCAGAGAGGUCUUUCUUAAAGGCACAAUGGAUCAUGUCAUUCUUUUGCCGAAAACCCUUCCAUAAAUCCUCAGUGUCCCUAGGAAAAUGAACUGGCUUCUACCACUACCUCCACCGCCCUGGUGCUCUGCCUGCCUCUCUAGUGAACUGGUGUAAUGUGAGUGCUUAAUAAAAAUAUGCUGCAUGUACACUUCC